rnacentral:rRNA from 1 species
UACGUAGGUGGCAAGCGUUGUCCGGAUUUACUGGGCGUAAAGAGCGCGCAGGCGGUCGUACAAGUCGCGUGUGAAAGCCCCCGGCUCAACUGGGGAGGGUCACGCGAUACUGUUCGACUCGAAGGCAGGAGAGGGAAGCAGAAUUCCUGGUGUAGCGGUGAAAUGCGCAGAUAUCAGGAGGAACACCGGUGGCGAAGGCGGUUCUCUGGGCAUUACCUGACGCUGAGGAGCGAAAGUGUGGGGAGCGAACAGG